GACGAACGCUGGCGGCGUGCCUAAUACAUGCAAGUAGAAGCUUGCUUCGAACGGGUGAGUAACGCGUAGGAACCUGCCUCAUAGCGGGGGAUAACUAUUGGAAACGAUAGCUAAUACCGCAUACUAUCAGAUGAGCCUAGGUAGGAUUAGCGAGUUGGGGGGGUAAAGGCCUAACAAGGCGAUGAUCCGUAACUGGUCUGAGAGGAUGAUCAGUCACACUGGAACGGAGACACGGUCCAGACUCCUACGGGAGGAAGCAGUGGGGAAUAUUGGACAAUGGGCGAAAGCCUGAUCCAGCCAUGCCGCGUGUGUGAAGAAGGUCUUCGGAUUGUAAAGCACUUUAAGUUGGGAGGCGUUACCAACAGAAUAAGCACCGGCUAACUUCGUGCCAGCAGCCGCGGUAAUUC
rnacentral:rRNA from 1 species